UAGGUUUGAAAUGCGCAAUUUCAUCAACAGGAGAAAUGUGCGAGCUUUAUUGAAGAAGUACAGUGAUUCAAAGCUAAGUUGGGACGAAUUUCAAGAAUUAAAAUCUGAAAUAUCUUCAAAGGGGCUUAGGACUCUAUUUGAAUGGUUAGAGAAACAAGGAUUUAUCACUACUUGUCCAAACUCGUGCAGAAGGUUAUUGGCAGCAUUGGCUUCUGACAAACCAGUAUGCGCAAUUGUGCCCCCCAAAGAAGAAGUUUUGGACAUCUUGAUAAGGAUGUCUGAUGGAGCCAAUCUAAAAGACAAUCCUUCGACUGAUUUAAAACUUCUUCAUGAAGAAGUGCCCCUACUGUUUAACGUCAUUGAGACUAGCGAAGAAAUUCCAAUUACUAUUCAACCGCUGCUAAAGGAAUUGGUACAAAAGGCGAUAAGUCCGUUCGAGGUCAAGGACGGUCAGUGGCGUUUGCCAGUGUCACAAAAUUCGUCCCAUGGAUAUUCACCUUGUCUGCCAGAACUGGUUCAACGAGGGAAUUAUGUUCUUGACAAUAGGAAGACACAGCAGUGAGAUUGUGCCAAAGUCACUAGACUCAAGAAGAAGCAUGGCACUUUGAUCCCUGGAAUAUUUUGUAUUCUUUGUCCCCACGGUAUAUGUUAUGGAUUCGAAAUAAUGAGGGAUCACGAAUCACCAAAUAUCCCAUUUACCAUUUUACGAACACGUUUUCCUGAUGCGCCAGAGUUGGUCAUUUACGAUAAUGCCUGCAGAUUGCACGAGUAUUGUUUGAACCGAGAUGCAGCAUAUAACAUGAAAUUGUACCCCAUGCUCAAUAUGUACAAUAGCCAAGCUGCUGAACAGUGCAAUUCGUCUAUUAAGCCUCUUGCCUCCAUGGUUUUUUACAUGGAAUACGAUAACUUUUUUCUUUUUACAAAACUCCAUAUUUGGCACAGGAAUAUGUUACGCAUUGUUAAAUACAAUCCUGAGAGAGAAAUAGCCUACAAACACUAUUUUCUCACUCUUAGUCGUGUUAUUCAUUAGUAACGCGUUAUAGUUUCGUUUUUCGAAAAAUUUAAACUUGUUUUUAUGAAUAGUUUUAUCUGUACAACAUGUUACUUCAUAGUUACCCAUAUAGUUUCUACAAAAGUAACAAUUAUAUGUAACGUCGUUACUUGUAAAAAAAUUAUUUACAUCACUUGUUAUAAAUAUAAGAAUGUUAUUCAU